AGCAGCCGCGGUAAUUCCAGCUCCAAUGGCGUAUAUUAAAGUUGUUGCAGUUAAAAAGCUCGUAGUUGAAUUUCGGGAUUGACACAUCGGUCGUGCCUUAAGGGGUGUGAACUGGUGUAGUCAAUUUCUCACCUUCUGGAGAACCGCGAUGUCCUUAAUUGGGUGCCGCGAGGAACCAGGACCUUUACUUUGAAAAAUUAGAGUGUUUAAAGCAGGCAUUUUUGCUUGAAUACAUUAGCAUGGAAUAAUAAAAUAGGACGGCAUGAUUCUAUUUUGUUGGUUUCUAGGAUCACCGUAAUGAUUAAUAGGGAUAGUUGGGGGCAUUAGUAUUCAAUUGUCAGAGGUGAAAUUCUUGGAUUUAUUGAAGACUAACUACUGCGAAAGCAUUUGCCAAGGAUGUUUUCAUUUAAUCAAGAAACGAAAGUUAGGGGAUCGAAGACGAUCAGAUACCGUCGUAGUCUUAACCAUAAACUAAUGCCGUACUAGGAAUCAGACGA
rnacentral:rRNA from 1 species